rnacentral:rRNA from 2 species
AAUCCAUAGGUUAAUGAGGCGAACCGGGGGAACUGAAACAUCUAAGUACCCCGAGGAAAAGAAAUCAACCGAGAUUCCCCCAGUAGCGGCGAGCGAACGGGGAGGAGCCCAGAGCCUGAAUCAGCAUGUGUGUUAGUGGAAGCGUCUGGAAAGGCGCGCGAUACAGGGUGACAGCCCCGUACACAAAAGCGCAUGUGCUGUGAGCUCGAUGAGUAGGGCGGGACACGUGGUAUCCUGUCUGAAUAUGGGGGGACCAUCCUCCAAGGCUAAAUACUCCUGACUGACCGAUAGUGAACCAGUACCGUGAGGGAAAGGCGAAAAGAACCCCGGCGAGGGGAGUGAAAAAGAACCUGAAACCGUGUACGUACAAGCAGUGGGAGCACCCUUCGGGGUGUGACUGCGUACCUUUUGUAUAAUGGGUCAGCGACUUAUAUUCUGUAGCAAGGUUAACCGAAUAGGGGAGCCGGAGGGAAACCGAGUCUUAAU